AAAUAGAUACCCGGGUAGUCCACGCCGUAAACGAUGAGUGCUAAGUGUUAGAGGGUUUCCGCCCUUUAGUGCUGCAGCUAACGCAUUAAGCACUCCGCCUGGGGAGUACGGCCGCAAGGCUGAAACUCAAAGGAAUUGACGGGGGCCCGCACAAGCGGUGGAGCAUGUGGUUUAAUUCGAAGCAACGCGAAGAACCUUACCAGGUCUUGACAUCCUCUGACAACCCUAGAGAUAGGGCUUUCCCCUUCGGGGGACAGAGUGACAGGUGGUGCAUGGUUGUCGUCAGCUCGUGUCGUGAGAUGUUGGGUUAAGUCCCGCAACGAGCGCAACCCUUGAUCUUAGUUGCCAGCAUUCAGUUGGGCACUCUAAGGUGACUGCCGGUGACAAACCGGAGGAAGGUGGGGAUGACGUCAAAUCAUCAUGCCCCUUAUGACCUGGGUCUACACACGUGCUACAAUGGAUGGUACAAAGGGCUGCAAACCUGCGAAGGUAAGCGAAUCCCAUAAACGCCAUUCUCAGUUCGGAUUGCAGG
rnacentral:rRNA from 1 species